AACUGAUACUACCUGCGGGAACCUGCGGAGGGAUCAUUACCGAGUUUUCAACUCCCUAACCCUUCUGUGAACCUACCUAUCGUUGCUUCGGCGGACUCGCCCCAGCCCGGACGCGGACUGGACCAGCGGCCCGCCGGGGACCUCAAACUCUUGUAUUCCAGCAUCUUCUGAAUACGCCGCAAGGCAAAACAAGUGAAUCAAAACUUUCAGCAACGGAUCUCUAGAUCGGAAGAGCACACG
rnacentral:misc_RNA from 1 species